rnacentral:rRNA from 1 species
AAGGAUUCCCUUAGUACGGGCGACGGAAGCGGGAAAAGCCCACACUGGUAAUCUCCAAGCGGCAGCUUGGCGAAUUGUAAUCUGAAGAUCGUUAGUCCACCUGGAGCCGGCGCUGAAGUGCCCACGAGCGGGCCGCCAAAGAGGGUGAGAGCCCCGUCUGGCGCUGGAUCCUACCCGGGCUGGCAAUCGAAGAGUCGUGUACCUUGAUACUGGUGCACUAAGCGGGAGAUAAACUUCUUCUAAGGCUAAAUACAAGUAGGAAACCGAUAGCGAACAAGUACUGUGAAGGAAAGAUGAAAAGCACUUUGGAAAGAAAGUUAAAAGACUUGAAAUCGUUGAGGCGGACCCGGUAGAAAUGUAUUCUAGCGAAAUUCUCUGGGAAGUCUAUAUUUGGGCCACUUGAGGAUUAGCCGAGACAAGAUGGGGUCGAGAGAAAUCAGAGAUCGGAUACGAAUUUGCUUGCAGGAGCGUAGCCUGAUCGGAUUUCUUUCGGCUCGAGGGGCCUUGUGCGAUCUUGUCAAAAUGGUUUUUACCGACUCGUCUUGAAACACGAACCAAGGAGUCUAAGACUAACGCGAGUGUGGUGGUGGAAAAACCAACACGCGAAAUGAAAGUAAUUGAUGCCAAGCACCCUGCAGCAUCGACCGACCACUUUCUUCUGGAAGAGGUUUGAGUAAGAGCGUUAUUCUUAGGACCCGAAAGAUGGUGAAACUAU